UCCGAUUUGUCACCGGCAGUCUCCUAUGAGUCCCCGACAUAACUCGCUGGCAACAUAGGACAGGGGUUGUGCUCGUUGCGGGACUUAACCCAACAUCUCACGACACGAGCUGACGACAGCCAUGCACCACCUGUGAAGGUGUCCCGAAGGAAAGGUGUGUUUCCACACCGGUCACCCACGUGUCAAGCCCAGGUAAGGUUCUUCGCGUUGCGUCGAAUUAAACCACAUGCUCCACCGCUUGUGCAGGCCCCCGUCAAUUUCUUUGAGUUUUAACCUUGCGGCCGUACUCCCCAGGCGGAUGACUUAACGCGUUAGCUGCGCCACCGGAACGCUAAGCGCCCCGACAGCUAGUCAUCAUCGUUUACGGCGUGGACUAC
rnacentral:misc_RNA from 1 species